UAGACCAGGACAGUAGACCAGGACGGUGAAUGUUUCUGCAUUAUGACAGUAGACCAGGACAGUGAAUCUUUCUGCAUUAGGACAGUAGACCAGGACAGUAGACCAGGACACUAGACCAGGACACUAGACCAGGACAGUAAACCAGGACAGUGAAUGUUUCUGCAUUAGGACAGUAGACCAGGACAGUUGACCAGGACAGUGAAUGUUUCUGCAUUAGGACAGUAGACUGGGACAGUAGACCAGGACAGUGAAGGGGUUUAGAUUCAUCAGUUCAGCUGAUAAUUAUUAUAACUCGCAUUUAUAAAUAAAGCACUAUAUCUGAUCCUGGUGUCAAAUGCAGAAAUGGCUUUUUCAUGAAAAAUGUAUAUCAUAUUUAUUUAGUCAGUACAAAUUGUGUGUUGGCUAGUUCAGUCAGGUAAAUGAUUUGUAGGCUUAGAGGUGUCUAGAAUUUGAGCCGGGUGGGGGAGUAGUCUAGAAUUGAGCCAGGUGGAGGGCGUAGUCUAGAUUUGAGCCAGGUGGAGGGCGUAGUCUAGAUUUGAGCCAGGUGGAGGGCGUAGUCUAGAAUUGAGCCAGGUGGAGGGCGUAGUCUAUAUUUGAGCCAGGUGGAGGGCGUAGUCUAGAAUUGAGCCAGGUGGAGGGCGUAGUCUAGAAUUGAGCCAGGUGGAGGGCGUAGUCUAGAAUUGAGCCAGGUGGAGGGCGUAGUCUAGAAUUGAGCCAGGUGGAGCGCGUAGUCUAGAAUUGAGCCAGGUGGAGGGCGUAGUCUAGAAUUGAGCCAGGUGGAGGGCGUAGUCUAGAAUUGAGCCAGGUGGAGGGCGUAGUCUAGAAUUGAGCCAGGUGGGGGUGUAGUCUAGAAUUUGAGCCAGGUGGGGGCGUAGUCUAGAAUUUGAGCUGGGUGGAGGUGUAGUCUAGAUUUGAGCCGGGUGGGGGCGUAGUCUAUAUUUGAGCCGGGUGGAGGUGUAGUCUAGAUUUGAGCCAGGUGGGGGCGUAGUCUAGAUUUGAGCCAGGUGGGGGUGGGGACGUAGUCUAGAUUUGAGCCAGGUGGAGGUGGGGGCGUAGUCUAGAUUUGAGCCAGGUGGGGGCGUAGUCUAGAUUUGAGCCGGUGGAGGGAGUAGUCUAGAUUUGAGCCAGGUGGGGGUGGAGGGCGUAGUCUAGAAUUGCGCCAUUUGGGGGGUGUAGUAUAAAUUUGAGCCAGGUGGGGGGCGUAGUCUAGAUUUGAGCCAGGUGGGGGCGUAGUCUAGAAUUGAGCCAGGUGGGGGCGUAGUCUAGAAUUGAGCCAGGUGGGGGCGUAGUCUAGAAUUGAGCCAGGUGGGGGCGUAGUCUAGAAUUGAGCCAGGUGGGGGCGUAGUCUAGAAUUGAGCCAGGUGGGGGCGUAGUCUAGAAUUGAGCCAGGUGGGGGCGUAGUCUAGAAUUGAGCCAGGUGGGGGCGUAGUCUAGAAUUGUGCCAGGUUGGGGCGUAGUCUAGAAUUGAGCCAGGUGGGGGCGUAGCUCAGAAUUGAGCCAGGUGGGGGCGUAGUCUAGAAUUGAGCCAGGUGGGGGCGUAGUCUAGAUUUGAGCCAGGUGGGGGCGUAGUCUAGAAUUGAGCCAGGUGGGGGCGUAGUCUAGAAUUGAGCCAGGUGGGGGCGUAGUC